GCAGACACAUUCCAGCCAAUCAGCAGCAUUCCCCCCCUCCCAGACCCUCCCACCUCCUGGACAGCAUCCAUUUUACAUUCAUUGUGAAGAUGUAUUCUUAGUGAGCUGUCCAGGAGGUGGGAGGGUCUGGGAGGGAGGGUCUGCUGCUGAUUGGCUGGAAUGUGUCUG